ACGGAGGGGGCUAGCGUUGUUCGGAAUUACUGGGCGUAAAGCGUAUGCAGGCGGAUCGUUAAGUUGGGGGUGAAAUCCCGAGGCUCAACCUCGGAACUGCCUUCAAUACUGGCGAUCUUGAGUCCGGGAGAGGUGAGUGGAACUCCGAGUGUAGAGGUGAAAUUCGUAGAUAUUCGGAAGAACACCAGUGGCGAAGGCGGCUCACUGGCCCGGUACUGACGCUGAGAUACGAAAGCGUGGGGAGCAAACAGGA
rnacentral:rRNA from 1 species